GAAGAAGUACAACACAAAGCACUGAAACAUAGUGACUACAACACGAAGCAUAGUAAAAUGUGUCAACUAAAGGGUUUGACAUUAUGAUUCCUUUUUUUUAUCAGUUCUCUACGUGUUUCUCGUGAUGUGACCGAUUUUUUUUUAUCCAAGAUGCUGGGGCAGACAU
rnacentral:ribozyme from 13 species